UCUUGUAGCCUCAGUUGGUUAGAGCGCGCGCUUGAUAAGCGUGAGGUCGGAGGUUCAAGUCCUCCCAGGCCCACCAUUCCUUUCGACACGAAGGUUAUCAGGGGCCGUAGCUCAGCUGGGAGAGCGCCUGCUUUGCAAGCAGGAUGUCGUCGGUUCGAUCCCGUCCGGCUCCACCAACCAUCUUCUGCGAAGAUGGGGCGUGUCGAGUAGAGACGGUGAGAAAAAAGUCAUUCGAAAAAGAGUUUGCGUCGAGCCUCUUGGCUCUGCGCCUGUUCUGUUUGACAUCGUAAAGAGAAGAUUUGUUCGAACUUCAUGAGCCGCAAGGUCUCAUGAUUUGUCGCAAGGGACGCUCAAUCCCUUGCCUAUGAUGGGUUUGCCUAACCGCGCCCUCGAACGGAUCUCGAGAAGCUGGUCUUUUUGUGCCAAUUCCAACCAGUAAUACCCCGCACAGGGUGUUGCUGGAGCGACGAUCCUUCGGAUCGCGCUUAGCCAAUCCUGCAAGGGCGAGGCUGAAGCGACGAUCCCCGCGGGAUCGCGCGAUGAUGGGUAUUGGCAAUGAGAACGAUCAAGUGUCUUAAGGGCAAUUGGUGGAUGCCUUGGCAUGCACAGGCGAUGAAGGACGUGAUACGCUGCGAUAAGCUACGGGGAGGUGCGAAUACCCUUUGAUCCGUAGAUCUCCGAAUGGGGAAACCCGGA
rnacentral:misc_RNA from 1 species